UUUAUGGAGAGUUUGAUCCUGGCUCAGGAUGAACGCUGGCGGCGUGCCUAAUACAUGCAAGUCGAGCGAACGGACGAGAAGCUUGCUUCUCUGAUGUUAGCGGCGGACGGGUGAGUAACACGUGGAUAACCUACCUAUAAGACUGGGAUAACUUCGGGAAACCGGAGCUAAUACCGGAUAAUAUUUCGAACCGCAUGGUUCAAAAGUGAAAGACGGUCUUGCUGUCACUUAUAGAUGGAUUCGCGCUGCAUUAGCUAGUUGGUAAGGUAACGGCUUACCAAGGCAACGAUGCAUAGCCGACCUGAGAGGGUGAUCGGCCACACUGGAACUGAGACACGGUCCAGACUCCUACGGGAGGCAGCAGUAGGGAAUCUUCCGCAAUGGGCGAAAGCCUGACGGAGCAACGCCGCGUGAGUGAUGAAGGUCUUCGGAUCGUAAAACUCUGUUA
rnacentral:rRNA from 1 species